UACAGGGGGGGCAAGCGUUAUUCGGAAUUAUUGGGCGUAAAGGGCGCGUAGGCGGCCAACUAAGUCCGACGUGAAAUCCCAAAGCUUAACUUUGGAACUGCGUCGGAUACUGGAUGGCUUGAAUUCGGGAGAGGGAUGCAGAAUUCCAGGUGUAGCGGUGAAAUGCGUAGAUAUCUGGAGGAAUACCGGUGGCGAAGGCGGCAUCCUGGACCGACAUUGACGCUGAGGAGCGAAAGCUAGGGGAGCAAACGGG
rnacentral:rRNA from 1 species